rnacentral:tRNA from 1 species
GCUCCAGUAGCUCAGGGGAUAGAGCAACGCAUUCCUAACGCGUAGGCACAGGUUCGAAUCCUGUCUGGAGCA